AGAGCGCCCGAGUCCACGCACCUCGCAGGCAGCGCGUUUACCUCAGAGCUCCCGAGUCCACCGACCUCGCAGGCAGCGCGUUUACCUCAGAGCUCCCGAGUCCACCGACCCGCAGGCAGCGCGUUUACGUGAGAGCUCCCGAGUCCACGCACCUCGCAGGCAGUGUAUUUACAUGGAAAUUGGAUCGAGGCACUGACGUUUAAAUCUUGGCUCCUGCUGUCUAGACAAAGGGCGCACCCAUUGCCGUCUCAGACACCAGAGGCUCCCACUUGACCAGGGGAAGCUGUUCAUGUUCUAUCCUGCGUGUUCUCGAGAAAGUUUUGAUGACAGAAAACAUCACACAGAAAGGGGAAGGCAUCGCAAGUUUCCAGCUCCAUGGAUUUUUGCAAACUGAGCACAUUUGUGGGCCAGGAGUGGGGCCCACAGCGAGAAUAUCCUUCCUGCUGCUCCUGCCAUCCAUCCACCAGCACAGCCAGAUCCCGGCUGUGGAACACACAGGAAGAAGAAUGAUCUAGAGAGAAAAUAAAGAUGUGCUCUCGACCCAGCCAUCCGCCAUGGGAGUCGCCACCGCACCCAGCAAGUCACUAUUGACUCACAAUUAAAUACGACUACUUAGAAUCUCACUGGAUUCCACAGCAGAUACAGCAGUAAGAAAGUGUGCGUCGUAAAAACACCAGGGGCCCCUUCCUCAACUCAGAGUGAGGGCCCACAAAUUUAAACAUCUUCUCUAUCACCUGGUAAUUUCAGUACCUUAUGUAAAUCCACUUUUCCCUAGACUGCCAAUGAUUCUUUCCAAAUCUGACAGAAACCAUUAAGACAUAAUUUUACAACACUUUUCCAAUGCGCCAAGCUGACCCCUCUCCUCCUCUGGCGGGGAAGGAAAAAACAAAACAAAAACCUCCAGGUCCAGUUUCACAUAAACCAAGCAAUGGAAAAAUUGUGUUUAGGUUUUCAGGUCCUCAAUUUAAUUCAAUGCAUUUAAAUUGCUAUUUUACUCGGUGAAUAUUUUGUAAUUUCUUCCUCACUUGUAUCACAUCAAUAUGGGAAGCAUAUUUUUAGACAAAAUAUAGAGAAUUUCUAACAGAAUUUUGAACAACUUUCAAUGCAAGAAGCAGUCUGGGAGAAUUCCCAAAACAUUAUGGUGAUUUCUGAGAAGAAUAGAAACUUGGAUAAUUCCAUAAUUAAAGACCCUGUAUCUUUUCUCAUUGUACCCACCCACACGUACACUGGCAUAUGUCCCUCCACACAUAUGCAUACAUAAUGCAUGCAUGAUGAUUAUACACGUGUGGGUGCAUGCCGUAUGUCUAGAAAUUGUAUAAAAUUUAAAUCUGCUCCACAGGGUUGCUGACUUAAAUAAACACUGUGCAAUUCUUGAGG